UACAGAGGUGGCAAGCGUUGUUCGGAAUUACUGGGCGUAAAGGGCGCGUAGGCGGUCAGGUCAGUCCCGUGUGAAAUCCCUCGGCUCAACCGUGGAACUGCAUUCGAUACUGUCGGGCUAGAGGCAGGUAGGGGAGAUCGGAAUUCCUGGUGUAGCGGUGAAAUGCGCAGAUAUCAGGAGGAACACCGGUGGCGAAGGCGGAUCUCUGGGCCUGUCCUGACGCUCAGGCGCGAAAGCUAGGGGAGCGAACAGG
rnacentral:rRNA from 1 species